GGAGGAGCUUAUAUUAAAAAUAAUAUAGCUCUUUUCAUGGACCAAUGUAUAAAUUUAUAAGGUCUUAAAAAAAAAAUUGGCCUUUUUUUUAAAAUAAAAACACUGUUUUAAGUUAUUUAAAUAACUUAAAACAGGCCUGGAUCCGGGUCGGAUUUUACCCGGAUCCGGCUAAGGGAGAUGCGCAUCUCCCUCUGGGGGCGCAUCAUCGCAUAUGCGCGCAUAAUGCGCGCGCACCCAGAACCUUGAUAAAACCCUAAUUUCUCACUUUCACUCUAUCACUUUUUUGCCCAAACCCUAGACCUCGCUGGAGACGUCGCCGGAGAUCGCCUAACCUCGCCGGAACUUCCUUUUUUCAGCCGUUUUCUCCCUUAAUCUGCAUGCCUACUAGUGGUAUGAAUUUCCUCAACUUUUCCAUCACUUUCCCUACCUUCAGACCAGGCCGGAUUCUGGCCAUCCUCGAA
rnacentral:lncRNA from 1 species